CAAAAAUCAUUAAUGAAAAAGUUCCAAAGUCAAGAAAAGAAUAUUGUCAAAGCGCGAGUGGUAUCCAGCAGCAGCAAAGCAAAAGUCGCGGGACUACGAUAACUGAAGCUAGGUCGGCCACUGGGGCCAAGAUUGACGGAUUUGGCGCCUAGCAAUUUGGGCUGGCGAAGCAGCGGCGCUCCAAGCAGCUGAUCCGUCGCAGCACAGAGCGAGGGAGCAGAGACGCAGAAAAAAUUCAGAGAGGCUCGACCUUCGCGGGCAGCCGGAUCGACGUCG